GACGGAAGGUGCAAGCGUUGCUCGGAAUCACUGGGCGUAAAGGGUGCGUAGGCGGCCGUGCAAGUCUGGCGUGAAAGCCCCGGGCUCAGCCCGGGAAGUGCGCUCGAAACUGCGCGGCUCGAGUGCCGGAGGGGAGAGUGGAAUUCCUGGUGUAGCGGUGAAAUGCGUAGAUAUCAGGAGGAAUACCGGUGGCGAAAGCGACUCUCUGGAUGGCAACUGACGCUGAGGCACGAAAGCGUGGGGAGCGGACAGG
rnacentral:rRNA from 1 species